GAUACAAUUAAAAUGCAACUUUCGCAUAUGAGAUGGAAGUGGGAAUUGGUAUUUUUGUGAACCAAAAUUUUGAGUGUUAUUUCCCCAUAAAUCCUUGACUUUAGGCUAUGAAAUUUGGAAUGGGGUCCACGCUUUAUAUUAUCUUAAUUCUACGGUAUUUCACACCAGUCAUGGUUCUUUCUUUAAUUCCUUGCACUUCAUCCCCACCCCUCUCAAAUCAGUUCAUUUCCCAUGCCUCAAGCACAAUGUUAAUUGGUAAAUUAAUGUGUUUUGUGUACAUCGUGUUUCCAAAUACACGGAAACUGAAUUGAGUAGCCAUUCACUUUUGAAAUCGUAAGUAGGGUUGAUUGUAUUGGCCUUAUAAAUAUGGUGGAUUUGCCUUUUAUAUUUUUUAUUGGUCUUUAAUAAAUUUUACGAAGUUUGAAAAUGGCUUAUUAUUUAUUAUAGAUUAUAUUAUUACUAAAUACUCUGCUAUGAUGAGUUCUAGGAAUUAAGAAAUUAACCCGAAGAACUAAGAAGAACAGAGAACUCUGGAAUAGAAAGAGUUCUGAGAUAGUAUGAUUGAUUCACAAGAUUGGAAAAUUUGAUUACAAAACUGAUUAACCAAAUUCUGAAUCAGACAGUUUUCUAAUAUACUAGUUGAUUUUUCCAACGAACUUCUAACUACUAAAACACGGAACUUUGACCAAAAAUAAAUCCUCCUAUUAUUAACUAUCCUCACUUAACUGCCUGUAAUUCCAUCUAAUUACAUUUUGACCCGUAUCAAUGCCCCACCCUUACAAAAAAUCCUUGACCUCAAGGAUAGAAAUUUGGAAAUUUUUUCAUCAAAUCAUAGUAAAAUUCCCAAGUUGAGUCUUCAGGUAGCCGAUGCUUCCAUUGUACAAGUACUUUGGUGACUGCCUUGCCUUGUCUCUUAACUGUCAUACGAUCAAUUAUAGCUUCUGGUUCCUUCUCAUUGCUGGAAUCAGUAGCAGAAAUAGGAAUAUUGACAAAAGUAGUAACUUCUCCAACAUGCUUUUUCAAUUGAGAAACAUGGAACACAUUGUGGAUUUUUGAUUCAGCUGGAAGUUGCAUCUUGUAAGCUACUGAUCCCACUUGAUCAAUGAUCUUGUAAGGUCCAAAAUACUUAGGAGCCAAUUUAGCAUUGAUUCUGAAAGCUACUGAAAUUUGUCUAUAUGGAUGUAACUUCACAUAGACAAGUCUCCAAUGUUAAACUUCUUGUCAAAUCUGUGUUUAUUAGCCAAUUGCUUCAUUCGAUCUUAGGCUCUCCUCAUGUGAAAUUUCAAAAGUUUAAGCAUUUCCUCCCUCCUUUGAAGACUUCUGUCUACCAACUCCACCUUAGAUUCACCAGGUAGAUAUGGUAAGUAGAUAGGUGGGGGCUGACCAUAUACUAUUUCUUAAGGAGUUGCUUUAAUUGUGCUGUGAUAAUUGGUGUUGUACCACCAUUCAGCUAAAGCCAACCAUUUAGACCACUGUAAGGGAGUGUCAGCACACAUAUACCUGAGAUAAGUUUCAAGACAUCUAUUCACUACCUCAGAUUGGCCAUCUGUCUGAGAGUGGUAAGUUGUAGAAAGUUGAAUCUGUACUCCUUGGAAAGCCAUAAGUUCCUGCCAGAAUUGACUCACAAAAAUAGCAUCUCUAUCGCUUGUUAUGGAUUUAGGAAACCCAUGCAAUUUAAAGAUAUUGUCCAAAAAAGAUUGAGCUACCUCAGCUGCAGUAUAUGGGUGAGAUAAUGCCAUGAAAUGAGCUACUUUGCUUAGCCAGUCAACUACCACAAAAAUAACUUGUUUCCCAUAAGAACUAGGCAAUCCUUCAAUAAAGUCCAUAGUAAUAUGUUGCCACACAUGCUCAGGAAUAGGUAAGGGCUGCAAGAGACCAGGAGAUGCCACUGUCUCAUACUUACAUCUUUGGCAAAUACUACAUUGUUGGAUAAACCCCUUCACAUCCUUAGUCAUGCCCUUCCAAUAAACCAUUGCCUUUAGUCUUUGGAGGGUUGCAUUCCUUCCAGAAUGACCACUUGAAGCUGCUGUAUGCAUACAACCCAAAAUAUCCUGUCUUAGUUUGAAAUCCUUACCAAUAACCGGCCUACCCUUCCUCCUUAACUCCCCUUUAUCCCAACUGAAAUGUUUAUGUGAAGUUGUUUUGGCUUGAACCUCAUUGAUUAACCUUUGAAUAUCACCAUCACUUUCCCAAGAUUGCUUGAUUCGGGCUAAUAAAUCAGAUUCUAACUGAUGACCUUGGAUAGCACAACAAUCUGUAGUUCCCAACCUAGAAAGGGCGUUAGCAACAGUAUUGUCCUUCCCUUACUUAUAUUUGAUGGAAAAAUCAAACUCCAUCAAUUUAACUAACCAUUUCUAUUGAAAAGUAGUAGUUAAUCUCUGUUCUAACAUGUACUUGAGGCUCCUGUGAUCCGUCCUGAUAAUAAAAUGUUUAUUUAACAAGUAGUGCCUCCAUUUUUGGACAACAAACACUACUGCCAAUAACUCUUUUUCAUAUGUAGAGAGAGAUUGUUGUUGUUGAUUCAAGACUCUACUUAUGAAAGCUAUAUGGUGCAUCUCCUGCAUUAGCACAACUCCAAUUCCAAACCCAGAAGCAUCUACCUCCACCACAAAGGUUUUGGUAAAAUCUGGCAAUGCUAAAAGUGGUGCCUGUACCAGUUUUGUUUUUAAGGAUUGAAAUGCCUCCUUUACUUUUGAAGACCAACAAAACUCUUCUUUCUUCAACAUAUUAGUUAAUGGUUUAGCUGUACUUCCAUAUCCCUUAACAAACCUUCUGUAAUAGCCUGAUAAACCCAAAAAACCUCUCAGUUGUUUAGUGGAUUGAGGUAGUGGCCAAUUUUGGAUUGCUACAAUUUUGCGUGGGUCAGUUGCUACCCCCUCUCGAGAUAUAUAAUGUCCCAAGUAUUCUACCCUUGUAACUCCAAAAUAGCAUUUAGACCUCUUGGCAAACAAUGAGUGUGCUCUCAUGGUUGUCAAAACUUGCUGCAAGUGGCCAAUAUGGCUUUCUAAACUACUGCUGUAAAUGAGCAUAUCAUAAAAAAAAACUAGCAAAAACUUCCUCAAAUAGUCUUUAAAGACCUCAUUCAUCAAUCCCUGAAAAGUGGCAGGAGCAUUGGUGAGGCCAAAAGGCAUUACCAAAUACUCAAAAUGGUCACUGUGUGUUUUAAAAGCAGUUUUAUGGAUAUCAAUAGGAUCCAUCCUCACCUGAUUGUAACCGGAUCUCAAAUCGAUUUUGGAAAAAAUCACAGAGCCAUACAACUCAUCUAGCAAAUCAUCAACAAGUGGUAUUGGAAAUUGAUCCUUCACUGUAUUCUUAUUUAAUUCCCUGUAGUCCACACACAUUCGUCAAGAACCAUCUUUCUUACCCACCAAAACAACAGGACUUGCAUAAGGACUGUUACUAGGCUGAAUGAUACCUGACUUGAGUGACUCUUUCACCAAUCUAUCAAUUUCAUCUUUCUGUUGUUUAACAUAUCUGUAAGGCCCUUUGUUCAUUGGAUUAGAGCCCUGCAUUAAUGGAAUCUUGUGAUCACAUCCUAAUCUCUUUGGAGGUAAGCUGGUUGGUUCAUCAAAUAUAUCAGCAAACUGACUUAGCAGUUCAUCGAUUGCUCUUGGUAAUUCAGGUUGCUCAACAUGAGUUGUUAAAGAAUGCAACAACCCUUCAGAAGCAUCACCUACCUGUAAGACAGACAAAUGAACACCUUCUUUAAGAGCUUUAGCCACCUGUUGUUUCCUUAUAGUCUUAAUAUUGGUAGAAGAAGCACCUCGUAGCACAUGCUUCUUGCCACUAACAGAAAAUUCCAUAGAAAGCUUGUCAAAAUUCCAAAUUAUAUCUCCCAAUGUAACCAGCCACUUGAUUCCCAAGACCAGGUCACAACAACCUAAAGGUAGUAACAUCAUGUCAGAACAAAAAUUAGUAUUCUGAAUAGUCCAACCAAAGUUCUUGACCAUUGAAGAAAUUCUGACUUUAGUAGCAUCAGCCACAAUAACAUUCAUAGUUUCCAUUUGUUGUAUCAAGCAACCUAAUUUCCGAGCAACUUGAACAUCAAGGAAUUUAUGAGUACUACCACUGUCUAUAAGGAUAUGCAAGGGUUUUUUCUUAUAAUAGCCCGUAAUUCGCAUAGUUCUAAAACUAGCAAUACCAGUCAGGGCAUGUACAGAGAUCUGAGGUUCAAUCAAAUCCUUUGGACUGUUCUCCACAUCCACAUCUUCACAAGUGUCAAAUGACUCACCAUCAUCAAUUUCCAUGACAUGAAUUUGGAGUCUUUUAUGGGUUAAUCUAUGUUCUGCGGUAAAAGGUUCAUCACGAAAGUAACAUAGACCUUUAGCUCUUCUCUCACUCAUAUAUGCGGGUGACAGGUUUCUAAUGGUUUUGGCCUUCAUAGGUGUGGAUUCUGCAAGUUUAGGUGGAUUGGAUAGUAUAGGUGGUUUAGAAGAAAAUUGUGGUUUCUGGUUUUUCAGAAUUGGUUUGAAUUGAGGGUUAUUUAAGGUAGAAGCUUCAUACAUUUUUGCAAGGGAAAAUGCUUUUCUUACCGAAUCAGGUUGGAACAUUCUGACCAUCAUUUGAACAUCUUGUUUUAACCCUCCCAAGAAACAGCUUAAUUGGUGUGCCUCAGAUAAUUCCACACGUGACACAAUCGAAUCGAAUUCUUCAUGAUAUUCUGUAAUAGAAAUUUUUUGUCUUAGCUUCAUUAAGUCCGCCAUUGGAUCCUCACAAAUUUCCCCAAAUCUAUCAAGCAAGAUUCGUGUAUAUUCCAUCCAAGAAGGUGUGUUGUCAACCGAAAAGAAAGUCUCACACUGGAUUAACCAUUGUUUAAUCCCGUUGCCGUUAAAUCUUGGAAAGUCUAAACACGCCAAUCUUGUAUUGCAAGAAUAAGAAGAUUUCCCCCCACGUAUUGAACUUCCAGAAUGAGAAGGUGAUGCUUGAAUGCGCGUGUUUUCUGCCAUAGAUUCUUGCGAAGGAAGGAACCAAGCUGAUACCAAUUGCUAUGAUCAGUUCUAGGAAUUAAGGAAUUAACUCGAAGAACUAAGAAGAACAGAGAACCCUAGAAUAGAAAGAGUUCUAAGAUAGUAUGAUUGAUUCACAAGAUUGGGAAAUUUGAUUACAAAACUGAUUAACCAAAUUCUGAAUCAGACAGUUUUCUAAUAUACUAGUUGGUUUUCCCAACGAACUACUAACUACUAAAACACGGAACUUUGACCAAAAAUAAAUCCUCCUAU